rnacentral:lncRNA from 1 species
AAUUCAGUGCAGAACAACACGUGGAUUGCUCAGUACAACUUGUUCAUCACAUCCUCCUGUUCACUGAAGAAUUAUGGAAAUAUUCUCUGAGCUGCUUUCCUCCCUGCCCAACGAGUCAUCUCUGUGUGAAAGGCCAAGCUUAUAAAUCCUGGGAAACUGGAAAUGAAAAGAAAAACACUGAGCCCCACAGUUUCAAGUCGGAGACAAAUUAUCUCAAGUGCUCCAGAACUUCUGGACUAGCUUUCAUGAUGGAAAAAGUGUUCUCUUCAUACUACCAAGAAACAUGAUGAGCUGAGAUUCCAGCCAUAGUUCUUUAGGAUCCACAGCACGACUUGCAGUAAACGGCGCUAGAAGAAAGAGACAUUAUACAAAUGCAAGCUGUUGUCACAACAAUGAUAAGAAAUCAGGAGUCGAAAGAUGUGGAGUAAGGGGGAAUUUCAGAGAAACCACAAAACACAAAAUAGGAAACAGAGACAGGAGAAGAUUGCUAUGACAAAAUUGCAGAAGGUGAAAUCUUUGGCAGCCUCUUAUUUCUCUGGAGAAUAUGAUAUUGUCAGGCUGAGGUGGAAGAAUCACAUGGUCAUACUGUUGAAGAGGUCUUGAAACAUUGGGCUUUCCUCUACAAGCGGAAGGAUAGCACUGGCAGCCAUCCACUGGCCCAGCAAUAUCCUGGAUUGAGACGAUAUCAUUUGCAUUACUUGCUGAAUGAAACAUAGUGAAAAUGACUGCAGAUAACCUCAACUAAGUCCAAGAUAUCAUUUUCAAAUCUGGACCAGCCCUUGCCAUCUAGACUGAACAGAGAUUCCAGUUUCCAGGAGAGUAGAUGGAGUAAUGAUAAAAGCACCUCCCAAAACUUUUGCCUUGGUACUACAGAGUGGCACAUAACUAAACAUUAUCAAGGAAUUUUACAGCCCUAGGCCUUCUAUUACUGUGUAUUACAGUCUGCUGUAAUCAUUCUAAUGGUCUAAGAUGUUGCAAGUAAUUUACUCACGGCCUGAACACCAGAAGUGCCAAAAUUGCCUGGGAGUUUUAUUCUGCAUCCAACCAGUACCAGGAAGGAGGAUGUAUUACUUCUCGUUUCUCUACAAGUGUCAGUGCAAAUCCAGCCAUCAAACAAAACUUAGACCUAAAAGCUUUUAGAUUACAGCGAUUAUUGCAGAUUUUACAUGAGAUAAAAAUGUAAUUGCUCCAU